rnacentral:misc_RNA from 1 species
AACGCACCUUGCACCCUUUGGUAUUCCGAAGGGUACACCCGUUUGAGUGUCAUUGUAAUCUCACCAUCCAACUCUUUGUUGGCAUGUCGUGGAUUUGGAUGUUGCCGUCUUGCAAUGGCUCGUCUGAAAUGCCUGAGUACAUCCUGGAUCGUGAUGUGUUCGGUGUGAUAAACUUUCACCGUCUCUGACCCCUAGUGGUCACACUCACUUGACCAAGGCUCUGUGCUUCCAACCGUCUGGAUCAGACAAUUUUGACAAUUUGACCUCAAAUCGGGUGGGACUACCCGCUGAACUUAA